CUCGAACCCAGGAGGCAGAGGUUACAACAGAUUUGUGAACUCAGCCAAGCACAGUGGUGGCAGGGCCUAGCUGCUACAAAGAAGACAUGUUUUAGACAAAUACUCAUGUGUAUGGGCAAAAAACUCGAGGACUGUAUUUGUGACUAAUUGUAUAACAGGUUAUUUUAGUUUCUGUUCUGUGGAAAGUGUAAAGCAUUCCAACAAAGGGUUUUAAUGUAGAUUUUUUUUUUUGCACCCAUGCUGUUGAUUGCUAAAUGUAAUAGUCUGAUCGUGACGCUGAAUAAAUGUCUUUUUUUUUAAUGUGCUGUGUAAAGUUAGUCUACUCUGAAGCCAUCUUGGUAAAUUUCCCCAACAGUGUGAAGUUAGAAUUCCUUCAGGGUGAUGCCAGGUUCUAUUUGGAAUUUAUAUACAACCUGCUUGGGUGGAGAAGCUAUUGUCUUCGGAAACCUUGGUGUAGUUGAACUGAUAGUUACUGUUGUGACCUGAAGUUCACCAUUAAAAGGGAUUACCCAAGCAAAAUCAUGGAAUUAUUGGUUAUAAAAGUGAUUGUUGGCACAUCCUAUGCAAUAUAUCUAAAUUGAAUAAUGGUACCAGAUAAAAUUAUAGAUGGGAAUGAAGCUUGUGUAUCAUCCAUUAUCAUGUGUAAUCAAUAAACGAUUUAAUUCUCUGGAAAAAAAUCUUCUGUGUAUCUGCUCAUUUAAUCCUAACAAUUCUUCUUAAAAACUUUUAAUUUUGAAAUUAUAGACUCACAGGAAGUUGCAAAAAAAACUGCCAACAGGUCUCAUGUACCCUUUGCCCAUUUUCCCUCAAUGGGAACACCUUGAAUAACUACAGUAAAAUAUCAAGACCAGGAAAUUGACAUUGCUACAGUCUACAAAGUUUACUCAGAUCUAACCAGUUUUACAAGCACUCAUGUAUACGUGUGUGUAUAGCUCUAUGCAAUUUUAUCACAUAGGUAGACUCAUG
rnacentral:lncRNA from 1 species